CUAGCACUUUUACAGGUCCUCCCCAGGCAGUAGGGCCAGAAUUUGGUAACUGGUCCUGAAAGAAGACCCUUGAUUGAAUCCUUGCUCUGGAAAUGUACCAGUGGCAGUUUGUCACUCAAUGGCACAGAG